ACGCACGCUGGCGGCGUGCUUAACACCUGCAAGUCGAGCGGUGAAGCGCCUUCCUUUUUGGUGGGUGUGGAUGAGUGGCGAACGGGUGAGUAACACGUGAGUAACCUGCCCCCUUCUUCUGGAUAACCGCAUGAAAGUGUGGCUAAUACGGGAUAUUCUGGGUCUGUCGCAUGAUGGGUCUGGGAAAGAUAUUGUUUCGGUGGGGGAUGGGCUCGCGGCCUAUCAGCUUGUUGGUGGGGUGAUGGCCUACCAAGGCGGUGACGGGUAGCCGGCCUGAGAGGGUGGACGGUCACACUGGGACUGAGACACGGCCCAGACUCCUACGGGAGGCAGCAGUGGGGAAUAUUGCACAAUGGGCGCAAGCCUGAUGCAGCGACGCCGCGUGAGGGAUGGAGGCCUUCGGGUUGUGAACCUCUUUCGCCAGUGAAGCAGGCCUGCCUCGUUUGUGGGUGGGUUGACGGUAGCUGGAGAAGAAGCGCCGGCUAACUACGUG
rnacentral:rRNA from 1 species